rnacentral:tRNA from 1 species
GUGGGCAUAGCUCAGUUGGUUAGAGCGCCAGGUUGUGAUCCUGGAGGUCGCGGGUUCGACCCCCGUUGCCCACCCCA